rnacentral:rRNA from 1 species
CCUACGGGUGGCAGCAGUGAGGAAUAUUGGUCAAUGGGCGCGAGCCUGAACCAGCCAAGUAGCGUGAAGGAUGACUGCCCUACGGGUUGUAAACUUCUUUUAUAAAGGAAUAAAGUGCGGCACGUGUGCCUUUUUGUAUGUACUUUAUGAAUAAGGAUGGGCUAACUCCGGGCCAGCAGCCGCGGUAAUACGGAGGGACCGAGCGUUAUCCGGAUUUAUUGGGUUUAAGGGGACCGUAGAUGGGUUGUUAAGUCAGUUGUGAAAGUUUGCGGCUCAACCGUAAAAUUGCAAUUGAUACUGGCAGCCUUGAGUACAGUUGAGGUAGGCGGAAUUCGUGGUGUAGCGGUGAAAUGCUUAGAUAUCACGAAGAACUCCGAUUGCGAAGGCAGCUUACUAAACUGCCACUGACAUUGAUGCACGAAAGUGUGGGUAUCAAACAGGAUUAGAUACCCGUGUAGUC